AGCUAUGCCUGAAUGAGAGGGACUGAUGACUUCUGGUGAAUCUACAGUUACUUGCAGCCCCGUGGACCUAAAAGGAAUUUGUCUUCACCUACUUCUGACUCAUCCAUGUGAAAGUGGGAAGGACAUCUCUAAUGUUUAUGAAGGAAAAAAAUCUUCUGGAAAUCUCUAAGUAAAACAUUGUCAAAGUGUGCCAGCAGGAGUUUCUUCAAAAUCACCUGUGAAGUCUGAAGCAAAAUAAUUGCUUGAACACAUAGCAAACUCCAUAUUAUGUGAAGAGUAGCAUUUUCAUUAUGCUGGAUUAUUCUCAAAAGCUUUUUAAUUAAAUGAUUUCAUGGCUGUGAUCAUUUGUAUAAAUGUAUCCAAAACUGCCUGGGGUGAGUUAGCUCAACUUGUGGUCUCACAAUGAGAACUGAAUAUCAUAUCAUGGAAAAAAGAACAAAAGAGCAAUUUUCAGAGAUGAGCUUCCUUCUGAGGGUCACAUUUGGAAAGCGGUAGCUCUCCCAAAGAUUCUCUGUCCCUCAGAAAUGAUGUACUGCACACCAACUGCUGGAAGGAAAAAUUGAGAUUUUUACAGAAAGCUGGUUUCCAUUGCUGGAAAAAGAAAAAAUCACUGAAACUUGAAAUGGCAGGAAAAUGCAUGACAGAUUCAUCACUUCGUAGUGCAGUUAAGCCAAGUGGCUUUGUUUAGCAUACACAUUGUUAUCGUUCCCUGCAGGUAUUAGAAUGAAAGUGUGCCCUGUGCUCUGCAUUCAGGCUGUAUGCUCAGGUGUUGGCUUGGCCAGCAUAAUCUUGUGGUAGGAGGGCAGAGUACUCAGAAUUACCAAAUGACCUAAUGUCAUUAGGUAAGAACUAAUGUUGAGAACCACAAGGGUGAGAAAAACAUAUAUACUCUUCAUAUAGGUAUUUUAUCAGUUGAUAUCUGAAUACCCUUUCUUGAGAUGGACAAAUGUGGUCAGCUUUAUUUCAAAGGCCUAGUAAUGGUGAAAAGCAUACUGGGAGAAUUACUUAACAUUCAUGGGCAUAUUGUAAUUAUUAAAAUUAAUACGGAAUAUCAGAAUAAACCAAAAGGGUACCGCUACCUUACAAACACUGGAUAGAAGAUAGAAGAGCAUGUUAAGUGCCUCUUUCCUUGUAAUUCCAGCAUCUUGUCAGAAACCAUUUAGACAAAUCAAAUUGCUGAAUUGUAUUUAACUGGAUACAUCAAAUAAAUGGAAUUGUUGAUGUAGUGCUUUCCUUCAACUU
rnacentral:lncRNA from 7 species